GUUUUCUCUCGGUGAGAAGCAGGCUAGCCUCACGGCAGAAACGAAACAAGAAAACCACAUAAACAUGCUGAAAGUUGCUCUAAACGCUUGUUUCUUGGGAAAUUAUUGUCUUUUUACCACUUAUUUUUUACAAGAAAGCUUCAUAAAGCAAGAAAAGCAAGCCUUGUGUACGGAGUUUUCUUCAUUGGUUGGCUGGCUGUCUAGCGGCAUUCAGACACGGGCUUGUUCAGGCAGUGACGGCAAGUAGAAGCACGGAUGAAAAAUGACUACAAUCCCACAUCUUAUUUUUAAUAAACACGUUCUGGCUGCAGAUUGCUAAUGCUAGUGUUUACAUGUCGGAUGGAUGAGAGAACCCCCGCAGUGUGUUGCUGUGGAUUCACACUAUAAUCUCUGGGCAUGGAGCCACUGGAGGAAACAGGUGUUGUUGCUACGUUUGCGGCUGUGGGAUGUUCCGGAGAGCCUCUGUGUCGUGUAAAGUCGAAGCCAAGGGAAGACACUGGAAAAGGGGCAGGAGGCGUACGAUGCAUGGGGGACGACUCGUGAAAUUUCUUCAAGGCUGCAGAUGGCCUCCACUCAGUAACCCGAUGUAUCCUGAAGUCCUCUGGAGUGCUUUGAAGUGUGACCAAUGACAGCGGAGUGGGGGUGGAGUAAAUUAAAGAGUCAUCAGAAGCAGGAAGUCCAAGAGGUGCAGAAUCUGGAAGAGCUAGAAAGCUUUCUGUGCGGGUGAUUGUGUGAAGCUGGUGGUUGUUUGUCUAUAUGUGCCCUGUGAUUGGCUGGCGACCAGUCCAGGGUAUACCCCGCCUCUCGCCCAAAAACAGCUGGGAUAGGCUCCAGCAUACCCGCGAUGGUCUUCAUCCAGUUGCUCAACCACUUAUUGUUAUGUUCAUUACUGCAGAGGAAAAAGCAUCCUCCGUAACAGUAAGCCUUAUUUACAGAAAAACAAUUUACACAAGGCAGUAUUCCAUCCACUAUGCUGUUUCCUGCUCCAUUAAAUCCCAUUGCAAUGGCCGCUAAGCAAGGACGGGAGGAACCUACUAUGACACGAUUUUACCGCUUCAUUGAUCCUCACUGCUUGUGUCAUCACAUCGCUACUUUAAAGCGUUAAAAGUGAAACUGAAAGCAAGAGUGCACGUGUUUUCCCGCAGCUGGAGGCAGGCGGUUCAGGUGGUUAAUUAACGGCUGCUAAUACAAUGCGGUGAAGCCAAACCUCCAGGCGACCUGAAUAAUGAGCCAGUGACAGUUUUUAGGGGGGAAAUGCAGGCUGCUUAGCGGCGUCUCCCCGUGAGGCUUGUGAGCUGUAAACUGCCAUCUGCAGAGGACGUACUACGUGAGCCGCCCUGGAUGACACGCCCACAAAGGCAAUGACACAGGCGACUGAACUCGCAGGCACUUAGUUGUUGGAAAAAAAACAACAAUAACUGUCACUUUAAGAGGCACCCGGCGAAAUCAAACCCCUCUUCUCCCCACCAUGUUAACACAUCUGCAAUGGGUUGCUUAGUUACCAUUUCAAGGCUACUCAGCCAAGCAUUGCCAAGCAUUUAUUAACUUGAAAGGUCCUCAUUAAGCAAAAGGGAUAUAAAUGGUGUUCCAACAGUAAUAUGUGCCAGGAGUUUGCACCAAAAUUAUUUCCCAGGCUUCGCUACACAUCUUAACAUAAAGCUCUAUCAACUAGUCAGUUACAGAUGCGGGAGCUGUAACUUUGAUGAUGUUUUCCUUUAGCGAAAAGGCUAAACUAGCAUGGCAUUGCUGUUAAAACGGAAGUGUAAUGUUAGCAUGUGUUGCUAACUCAUUAAAUCCCAGCCAUCUUUCAAAAGACGUCCGAAAGAGGUUUGUUUAGUAACCAGCAGUAGAACAGGGGUGGGCAAAUUACGGCCCGGGGGCCACAUGCGGCCCACCAAGCGUUUGAAUCCGGCCCGCCACUUUUAGCAAACUGGCAACAUGACUUGCAAGUCGGAUGUCUUAUUUAGUAAAAAAAAAAAACAACAAAACUGUCAAAUUAAAUGACAUAAUUUGAUGUGGUCCUGAAAAAAUUGACAUGAGAACAUAUAGCUGAUAGUAUAACACUUUUACAGAUAAAAUUACACAAAUAAAUAAAAAUAAUAUAGUAUGUGUGUUAAAUAUAUGUUCUGGGCCCCCCGGAAAAUUUUGUUAACUCAAUGUGGCCCACGAGUCAAAAAAUUUACUUUGGUGCGUUUCAGCAAAAUAUCAGUUCUCAACAAAAAAAAGGCUUUUGUGAAAAAUUUAGCCAUACAUAUUUCACCAAAAUGUUUAAACAACAAUGCCAUGACAUAAACAACACAAAAAAUGGUUGAAAAUAACAAGAGAUGUCCGAGAAUUAUCUGUACCAAUAAUUAUCAGCCCAAUAUCGAUUGAUAUUGGUAUUUUUUUCCCGAUCAUAAAAAACAAUAUUAAACCAAUGCUGUGUACAGCACAUAUGUGUUCAUUGCACCAUUACAAUAUAUCCAAUUCAGUUUUCUGCAAUAAUAUUUAAUAACUAUUUAUAAUUUUCACAUUUGAAAGCGAACCUUGUGUGUACGCGUUUGCGUUAAAAGUUUUCUUUCAAUGCGUGACCUCCCUUGUGCAACACGGAUCCCAGCCUUUCUACUUCCUGGUUGCUGCAUAGACGGUAAAGAUGCAGGCCGUGCUCUUGUGGAUGUUUCUUUGGCUUAAAAUUGAACCAAACGUGCUCUCUUUCUCUCUGCAACACCGACUCUUUCACAAAAAAGACGUAUAAAUAUGUCUGGGUUGAAAAAAUGUAACAUCUUUGGUAGUGAAUGAGUUAAGGUUACGUCGUUGUACGUGAUAUAUGACAUCCACUACAUUGGACAGCGUUACAAUGUAGAAGUAAAAGGUGAAUGAAGCUCGACACACACAAAACAGCGUGUUCCCUUUCAGACUCACUAAAAGCACUUUUAGAUUUUGGAGCUCUGACAUUCAUUUAGAAUUGGUAAAAAAGAAUAAAUAAUAACGAGGGACCUUUCAACAUGAAGACAUAAUUUGAAGGUGAUACGGCUCUUUUUUUUACAUUUUCAUCUGUCGCACUCCCCAACUGGAGUAUUCAACCGUGAUGGAUUCAAUGCCCUUAGAGUACAAUGACUGUCACAUAAGUGUAAAAAACGUGUUAACGUGUUAACAAGUGAAGUCACGUCGAGUCUUAUAGUUUUUAAUGAAAACCUUUUUGGUGAGGGUGAUGGUGCAUUCCUCAUGUUUUUUUAUUCAAACUUGCAUUUUAGCUCGAUUCCAAAAAUGAAGUGAGGAUCCUGAACGUUACCUGGACAGCUUUCUGAGACUGGAUGUCCACUAUGAGCACUCGAUCCAAGGUCGGCUGCGCUGCGUAAAUAAAUUUAUCCUUCACGUUGACCGCUGAGGACCACACACACUUCUGUACCGUGUCAUCUUCCAAAGCGGGACACACCUCUUCCUGGAAAAGAAAACACACCAAAGAUAUAGAGUGGUUAUCUCCACUUUUUCACUGACUUAUCAAUGUUCUUCCUGUGUCACUCCAAUCCACACAACAAAGCCUGCAGGUUUCCGGGCAUUUAAAUUUACUCAGUUUGUGAGCCAACGACUUCUUCAUGUCGUGUGGUGGAAAUUGAAUGUGUGUUGCAGCUGAGGGUGUGAAGGUGUUGUACAAUGCAUACUGUGCUGUACUUGUACUGUGCGUGGGGGAGUAGCAUCAACAGAACAGAGAAUAUAAAGAAGGCGGCAAAGAUGUUUGUUCUCGUUCCAUAUGGAAUUCUCCUGACACCGACCAGUAUUUUUCUUCUCAUGAAUGAAUUAAGAUAUUUAAUCUGUGUUAAACACACCAUGCAGGAGACAGACUGAAGAAUAUUAUUUGUACACAAGCUUUCUUGCUGUCAUAACCAUACUGAAAGUCAUUAUAGUUCAUAUUUUUACAUCAUUUUAACCCUUUUAAAGCAUUAGAACCUCAAAGAGCUGACUCAAGACUGAGGGGGGUACUGUUUUGAAAACACAUUUUUCCCAAUGAAAACUUCAAAAAUUUCCCACUUUCCUCGUUAUUCUUUCAAAUAUCAACAUCCAUGCCAUAUACAGGAAUUUUUUUAUAGUUCCGCAUUUCCUAGCCAGUGAAAACAUUCAUCUCAUUUAGGACACUCCCAUUUCAAUUCUCCUGUAAUUCCUUAGUUUCUGUAACAGAAAUUCCCUUUGAAUGUGAGAAUUUUUUAUACUUCAAUUUUUCUUUUUUAGAUAAACAACCAUUCACACUCACAUUCAUACCUAUGGACAAUUUGGAGUCGCUAAUUAACCUAGCAUGUUUUUUUGGAAUGUGGGAGGAAACUGGAGUACCCGGAGAAAACCCGCACAUGCACAGGGAGAACAUUGAAA